CCAGUUUUCGAAGGGAGUAGUCGUUCUUUGCAAAGUAAAUUUCCAAAAAAUCGUUAAAAAUUAAAGGAAUUAAUUUAAAUUGCUUUUAUUGAUAAUAUAACUUUUACUUUGAAUUAAAAUAAAUUUUAACAGCAUUUAACAAAUUUAAUUAUAAACUGCGAGAAAAUAGUCCGAAUCUAACGAAGUACAACUUGUGGAUAAUGGAUGUUGACAUGAUGAUGCAAGCUCGCUAGUGUUUAAAACCAAUAUUUAGCUUGAUUUAGCCACUGCAGUAUAAAGAAAGAAGCAGACCAGAAACCUUUGGCUAAAGCAAAGAUGAUAUGCAUACCAAAAGCAGUUACAUAAUUUACAAGAGUCUGAAGUUAUGAUGACCAUGCAGAGUCAAGAUAUUGUAACAAAGACAUGCCUGCAUGAAGAAGAAUGUUCACUCAAUUUUUCAGAAUAAUGUGUCAGAUUGAAAUUCAUCUUAUGUUGGACAAAACAAUCAGGACAUUCUUCUGGAUCACAGCUAGCACAAAGUAUUGACAAAACCAAAGAUUUAUCAUUACCUGGUAGUCUGC